UACGUAGGGAGCAAGCGUUGUUCGGAUUUACUGGGCGGUAAAGGGCGCGUAGGCGGCAGAUCAAGUCAGCUGUGAAAUCUCCGAGCUUAACUCGGAACUGUCAGCUGAUAACUGUGCGGCUAGAGUGCGGAAGGGCAACUGGAAUUCUUGGUGUAGCGGUGAAAUGCGUAGAUAUCAAGAGGAACACCUGCGGCGAAGGCGGGUUGCUGGGCCGACACUGACGCUGAGGCGCGAAAGCUAGGGGAGCGAACGGG
rnacentral:rRNA from 1 species